GGGGAGAUACCAAAGUGGCCAACUGGGGCGGACUGUAACUCCGCUGUCUUUCGACUUCGUAGGUUCGAAUCCUGCUCUCCCCA
rnacentral:tRNA from 1 species